AUCCAGUUGACGAGUCCUAAACAGGACAAAGCGCGCGCCCUGGAU
rnacentral:hammerhead_ribozyme from 1 species